UACGUAGGGUGCAAGCGUUGUCCGGAAUUAUUGGGCGUAAAGAGCUCGUAGGCGGUCUGUCACGUCGGAUGUGAAAACUCGGGGCUCAACCCCGAGCCUGCAUUCGAUACGGGCAGACUUGAGUUCGGCAGGGGAGACUGGAAUUCCUGGUGUAGCGGUGAAAUGCGCAGAUAUCAGGAGGAACACCGGUGGCGAAGGCGGGUCUCUGGGCCGAUACUGACGCUGAGGAGCGAAAGUGUGGGGAGCGAACAGG
rnacentral:rRNA from 1 species